AUGGCAGCUCAUGCCCCAACGAUGGCAGUCCCCACCGACGCCCAGCUGAUUCAGGCGCAGGCUGACUUAUGGCGGCACAGCCUGUGCCACCUCACGGCCAUAGCACUCAGGUGCGCUGUCCAGCUCGGUAUCCCUACUGCGAUACACCGACUCGGCGGCACAACAUCGUUGCCCGAGCUUGUCACCGCACUGUCCCUCCCACCAUCUAAGACACCAUACCUUGGCCGUGUCUUGCGGUUGCUGGCCACAUCAGGCGCCUUAGCAUCCCCUAAGGAGGGGACCUACUCCCUCGUCCCGCUAUCAUAUCUCCUGGUGGAUGGUGUAUUCAUUGAUGGUGAGGCUAGCCAGAAGGCCAUUGUGCUUGCCACAACCUCAAGACAUUACAUAGAGGCGGCCUUGGGGCUAGCUGACUGGUUCAAGAAGGACAUCGCACCAUCGCCAUCACCAUUUGAGGAUGUGCACGGUGCCACACUCUUCGAGGAGAGUAUGGCGCUCCUCGACCCAGAGUCAGACAAGGUGUUCCAUGAAGCUCUGGCUGCCCAUGACCAUUUGGGGAUCAGCACCAUAUUGCGGGAAUGCCAUGACUUAUUCAAGGGGGUGCAGUCACUCACCAAUUGUUGUGGUGGUGAUGGAACGACGGCUAGGGCUAUUGUCAAGGCCUUCCCGCAUAUCAAGUGCAAUGUGUUGGACCUUCCGAAGGUGAUUGAGAAAGUCCCGAGUGAUGGUAUCAUUAACUAUGUCGCUGGUGACCUAUUCCAUACCAUUCCACCUGCUCAAUCUGUGAUGCUUAAGCUUGUUCUGCACUUCUGGAACGACGAAGAUUGCAUCAAUAUCCUGGCUCAAUGCAAGAAGGCCAUUCCGUCCCGCGAAAUGGGGGGAAAGGUUAUUGUCAUAGAUAUAGUAGUCGGCUCAUCAUCCAAAGAAAUGUUAGAAACCCAACUGUUGGUGGAUAUGCUCAUGUUAGUAUGUACAAGAGGACGUCAACGAGAUGAAAAUGACUGGAGCACAAUCUUUACAAAAGCAGGAUUUAGCGACUAUAAAAUCUUCAAGAAACUGGGACCUCGAGGUGUCAUCGAGGUCUAUCCUUAA
rnacentral:rRNA from 1 species